rnacentral:rRNA from 1 species
AGUGAACGCUGGCGGUAGGCCUAACACAUGCAAGUCGAACGGCAGCACAGUAAGAGCUUGCUCUUACGGGUGGCGAGUGGCGGACGGGUGAGGAAUACAUCGGAAUCUACUUUUUCGUGGGGGAUAACGUAGGGAAACUUACGCUAAUACCGCAUACGACCUACGGGUGAAAGCAGGGGAUCUUCGGACCUUGCGCGAUUGAAUGAGCCGAUGUCGGAUUAGCUGGUUGGCGGGGUAAAGGCCCACCAAGGCGACGAUCCGUAGCUGGUCUGAGAGGAUGAUCAGCCACACUGGAACUGGAACACGGUCCAGGCUCCUAAGGGAGGCAGCAGUGGGGAAUAUUGGACAAUGGGCGCAAGCCUGAUCCAGCCAUACCGCGUGGGUGAAGAAGGCCUUCGGGUUGUAAAGCCCUUUUGUUGGGAAAGAAAAGCAGCAGGUUAAUACCCCGCUGUUCUGACGGUACCCAAAGAAUAAGCACCGGCUAACUUCGUG